AGUGAACGCUGGCGGUAGGCCUAACACAUGCAAGUCGAACGGCAGCACAGUAAGAGCUUGCUCUUACGGGUGGCGAGUGGCGGACGGGUGAGGAAUACAUCGGAAUCUACUUUUUCGUGGGGGAUAACGUAGGGAAACUUACGCUAAUGCCGCAUACGACCUACGGGUGAAAGCAGGGGAUCUUCGGACCUUGCGCGAUUGAAUGAGCCGAUGUCGGAUUAGCUAGUUGGCGGGGUAAAGGCCCACCAAGGCGACGAUCCGUAGCUGGUCUGAGAGGAUGAUCAGCCACACUGGAACUGGGACACGGUCCAGACUCCUACGGGAGGCAGCAGUGGGGAAUAUUGGACAAUGGGCGCAAGCCUGAUCCAGCCAUACCGCGUGGGUGAAGAAGGCCUUCGGGGUGUAAAGCCCUUUUGUUGGGAAAGAAAAGCAGCAGGUUAAUACCCCGCUGUUCUGACGGUACCCAAAGAAUAAGCACCGGCUAACUUCGUG
rnacentral:rRNA from 1 species